GAUGAACGCUGGCGGCGUGCUUAACACAUGCAAGUCGAACGAAGCACUUAAACGGAUCUCUUCGGAGAGAAGCUUUUGUGACUGAGUGGCGGACGGGUGAGUAACGCGUGGGCAACCUGCCUUGCACUGGGGGAUAACAGUUGGAAACGACUGCUAAUACCGCAUAAGCGCACAGUAUCGCAUGAUACAGUGUGAAAAACUCCGGUGGUGUAAGAUGGGCCCGCGUUUGAUUAGCUAGUUGGUAAGGUAACGGCUUACCAAGGCUGCGAUCAAUAGCCGACCUGAGAGGGUGACCGGCCACAUUGGGACUGAGACACGGCCCAAACUCCUACGGGAGGCAGCAGUGGGGAAUAUUGCACAAUGGGGGAAACCCUGAUGCAGCGACGCCGCGUGGAGGAUGACGUAUUUCGGUAUGUAAACUCCUAUCAGCAGGGAAGAUAAUGACGGUACCUGACUAAGAAGCCCCGGCUAACUACGUGCCAGCCGCCGCAGUAACAC
rnacentral:rRNA from 1 species